CCCCCCCCCCCCCCCCCCCCCAGCGCAUGGGACUUCCCCCAAAGAUGGUGGGGAGCGGAGCCGCCGAGGCGCUCCGCCCGGGCCGGGAGGGGGAGAUCGAUCAAACUUGGCGGGGGGCGGGCUCGCAGCCGCUCGGCCUCCCCCGGCCCCCGUUGAGGGGCUUACGGGCGGCGGCAGCUGACCGGCCUCAGGGGCUGCGUCUGGUCCCUUUAAAGCUGCAUCGCCUGUGCGGAUGUAAGAAUCAGGGAAAGCAACUGACCCAGCUCACCCAGGCAGGAAGUUUCAGAUCCAGAAUUAAGACCACGAGCAACAGCUGGUCUUUACUGUAAAGCACUCUUCUCUCAAAGCAUCUCAAGCUCUAACAGGACAAUAAUUGGAAGAAAAAUGCCAACGCUGCUAGCAAGGUGUCAAUACAGGGAAUUUACAGAACAAUCCAGAAUCUAAGAAG
rnacentral:lncRNA from 1 species